UUAACUUUCAGUACUAGGACAUUACAAGAAGUGACAGCUCAGACCACUUUCCCCAAAGUCUUCAUGUUUUGGCAAUGAGGAUACAAGCCCAGAAAGAUGAAAUCUGUAUCCAGAAUUCAGUUUUCUGACAGAUUCAUCUAUGUGGAGCCAACAAAACUAUGAACUGAAUUAUAUGGGAACUUUGAUGAGUUGAAGGAAGUGUCACAUCAUACACGUCCAUCAUAUAAAGAUGCUUAGAUGACUCAAAAGCAAGUCUUUUACAGAUACUUCUUGACUUACAAUAAGGUUAUGCCCC
rnacentral:lncRNA from 1 species